CGGAGGGUGCAAGCGUUAUCCGGAAUCAUUGGGUUUAAAGGGUCCGCAGGCGGACUUAUAAGUCAGUGGUGAAAGCCUACAGCUUAACUGUAGAACUGCCAUUGAUACUGUAAGUCUUGAAUUCGGUCGAAGUGGGCGGAAUAUGACAUGUAGCGGUGAAAUGCUUAGAUAUGUCAUAGAACACCGAUAGCGAAGGCAGCUCACUAGGCUUGGAUUGACGCUCAGUGGACGAAAAGCGUGGGGAGCAAACCAGGAUUAGAUACCCUGGUAGUCCACGCCGUAAACUAUCAAUACUCGUUCUCGGCGAUAUACAGUCGGGGACUAAGCGAAAGUGAUAAGUAUUGCACCUGGGGAGUACGAUCGCAAGGUUG
rnacentral:rRNA from 1 species